UCGAAUUUCCUCCGUCGCAGACACUCGGCCCUACCCUUCGGACACCGCACCAGACGGCUCCUCGAACAGGAGAGACGUCCCGGAAAAGCACACCAGCCGCCAAACAUGUGAAGAAGUGGGCGCCCUUACCCAACCGGUUAAAUGCGCACCACGGUCGGGAAUUUUCCGACGCAAGUGCACACUACUACACACACACACUCACCCACGAGUACGAAUUUUCACGACCGUUAACGAACGGCUGCAGUUCGGCAUUGCGUAGGACAUGAACAUGGGCAAGAAUGGAGUCCUGGAGGAAAAAGGACUUCCGAACGCACACAUACGAACCUUGGUGAGCUGCGUUAGUAGUGUGUCCCGUCGCACACUAAACAUCGCACCCACUGUCAUCGGUCCGACACACGCGUGCUGCAACGCAGCGAAUGGCUAUGACCAACCCCAACGGCUAGACGGCGUUGAGCCCACUCGUCGGCCCAUCGGAUGCCGACAGCCAUCGGAGCGUGUUUAUCGCGCCCCACCCACCCACCGGGAAGGGCGGUUGAAGGAAGUACCGUCGGUUUUUUUGUUGUGCCCUACCAUCCGCUUUUCCCGGACCACCCGUUUCGGCAGACAUUAAAAAGCGCAGACAAAAUCGAUAUUUUUAGCCGCAUGAUCAUCGGAGAUCGGAAUUCGCACUGGCAAACUAGAUUUCUCUUAAUGCUACCCCAGCACCAACCACUC